rnacentral:rRNA from 1 species
AACGGCAUAGCUGGGUAGCUAUGUAUGACGGGAUAAGUGCUGAAAGCAAUCUAAGCAUGAAGCCCCCCUCAAGAUGAGAUUUCCCAACUUCGGUUAUAAGAUCCCUCGAAGAUGACGAGGUUAAUAGGUUCGAGGUGGAAGCGUGGUGACACGUGGAGCUGACGAAUACUAAUCGAUCGAAGACUUAAUCAA